AAUGAAAUAGUGAGUGCGAGAGGACUAAACUUCAUCGCCAGUGAGAAGAACAGAGGACACUGCACCGUCGGAGUCUUCCUCGACAUCGAGAAGGCCUUCGACCGCGUGUGGCAUGCCGGCCUCCUGGCGAAGCUCCUCUCGACCAACCUACCACCCGCGAUCGUGCGGCUGGUAGCAUCGUUCCUGGAGGGCAGGUCCUUCCGAGUAUCCGUGGAAGGC